rnacentral:rRNA from 1 species
UACGAAGGGGCUAGCGUUGCUCGGAAUCACUGGGCGUAAAGCGCACGUAGGCGGAUUGUUAAGUCAGGGGUGAAAUCCUGGAGCUCAACUCCAGAACUGCCUUUGAUACUGGCGAUCUUGAGUCCGGGAGAGGUGAGUGGAACUGCGAGUGUAGAGGUGAAAUUCGUAGAUAUUCGCAAGAACGCCAGUGGCGAAGGCGGCUCACUGGGCCGGAACUGACGCUGAGGAGCGAAAGCGUGGGAGCGAACAGG